GCCAGGCAUGGUGGCAUAUGCCUGUAAUCCCAGUUACUGGGGAGGCUGAGGCAGAAGGAUCACAAAUUAGAGGCCAGCCUGGGCAAUUUAGUAAGACCCUGUCUCAA
rnacentral:sRNA from 1 species